rnacentral:rRNA from 1 species
UACGAAGGGGGCUAGCGUUGCUCGGAAUCACUGGGCGUAAAGCGCACGUAGGCGGCUUCUUAAGUCAGGGGUGAAAUCCUGGAGCUCAACUCCAGAACUGCCCUUGAUACUGAGGAGCUCGAGUCCGGAAGAGGUGAGUGGAACUCCGAGUGUAGAGGUGAAAUUCGUAGAUAUUAGCAAGAACACCAGUGGCGAAGGCGGCUCACUGGCCCGGUACUGACGCUGAGGUACGAAAGCGUGGGGAGCAAACAGG